ACUGUGAAGGAAAGGUGAAAAGCACCUCGAACAGAGGAGUGAAAUAGUCCCUGAAACCGUCUGCCUACAAGCGGUCGGAGCAACGUAAGUUGUGACGGCGUGCCUUUUGCAUAAUGAACCUACGAGUUACUUUCUCCGGCAAGGUUAAGGGCUUCAGGCCCGGAGCCGAAGCGAAAGCGAGUCUUAAUAGGGCGUGAUAGUCGGAGUGAGUAGACGCGAAACCAAGUGAUCUACCCUUGGUCAGGAUGAAGGUUGGGUAACACCAACUGGAGGUCCGAAUGGGUAUACGUUGAAAAGUGUUCCAAUGAACUGAGGGUAGGGGUGAAAGGCUAAUCAAACUUGGAGAUAGCUCGUACUCCCCGAAAUGCAUUUAGGUGCAGCCUUUAUUUAGUAUAGCAUGAGGUAGAGCGACUGAUUGGAUGCGAGGGCUUCACCGCCUAUCAAGUCCAGAUAAACUCCGAAUGCGUGCUAUAUAUUGAUAAGGAGUGAGGGCGCGGGUGCUAAGGUCCGCGUCCGAGAGGAGAAGAAUCCAGACCAUCAGCUAAGGUCCCCAAAUAACAGUUAAGUUGAACUAACGAAGUCGGACUGCAGAGACAGCUAGGAUGUUGGCUUGGAAGCAGCCAUUCAUUUAAAGAGUGCGUAACAGCUCACUAGUCGAGGAGUCCGGCGUGGAUAAUACUCGGGCAUAAACUGUUUACCGAAGCUAUGGAUGUAGAAAUACAUGGUAGGGGAGCAUUCCAACGGCGUCGAAGGUGAAGGAUGACCUUUGCUGGAGCUUUUGGAAACGCAAAUGUAGGUAUAAGUAACGAUAAAGGAGGUGAGAAACCUCCUCGCCGAAAGACUAAGGUUUCCUGAUCAACGUUAAUCGGAUCAGGGUAAGUCGGGACCUAAGGUUAAGCCGAACGGCGAUACCGAUGGAAGAAUGGUUUAAUAUUCCCAUACUACUUUAUGGAGCGAUGUGGAGACGGAGAAGUGAAAGUCCUGCCAUCUGACGGAAUAGGUGGUUGAAGAGUGUAGAUGUAGAUUCCUGUAGGCAAAUCCGCAGGGAGAGUCGACCUUGAUAGUAUGCCGCGUGCUUGCACAAGGCAAAAUGGACGUAAUCAGGCUCCCAAGAAAAUCCGCUAAGCAUAUUCAUAAAGUACCCGUACCGUAAACGGACACACGUAGUUGGGUUGAAAAUACUGAGGCGCUCGAGUGAUUCACGGUUAAGGAACUAGGCAAAUUGACCCUGUAACUUCGGGAUAAAGGGUCCCUACUGAGAGGUAGGGCGCAGAGAAUAGGUCCAGGCAACUGUUUAACAAAAACACAUGGCUGUGCGAAAUGGAAACAUGAGGUAUACAGCCUGACACCUGCCCGGUGCUGGAAGGUUAAGAGGAGAUGUCAUCGCGAGAGAAGCGUUGAAUUGAAGCCCCAGUAAACGGCGGCCGUAACUAUAACGGUCCUAAGGUAGCGAAAUUCCUUGUCGGGUAAGUUCCGACCUGCACGAAUGGUGUAAUGAUCUGGACACUGUCUCAACCGUGAGCUCAGUGAAAUUGUAGUAUCGGUGAAGAUGCCGAUUACCCGCGAUGGGACGAAAAGACCCCGUGAACCUUUACUAUAGCUUUACAUUGAAUUUGGGCAAUCGAUGUGUAGGAUAGGCCGGAGACCGUGAAGCAGGUACGCCAGUAUUUGUGGAGUCGCCGUUGAAAUACGGCCCUUUGGUUGUUUGAGUUCUAACCCGCAGAAGCGGGGACACUGUAUGGUGGGUAGUUUGACUGGGGUGGUCGCCUCCAAAAGAGUAACGGAGGCUUCUAAAGGUACCCUCAGACCGAUUGGUAACCGGUCGCAGAGUGUAAUGGCAUAAGGGUGCUUGACUGGGAGACAGACAAGUCGAUCAGGUAGGAAACUAGAGCAUAGUGAUCCGGUGGUUCCGCAUGGAAGGGCCAUCGCUCAAAGGAUAAAAGGUACUCCGGGGAUAACAGGCUGAUCGCUCCCAAGAGCUCAUAUCGACGGAGCGGUUUGGCACCUCGAUGUCGGCUCGUCACAUCCUGGGGCUGGAGAAGGUCCCA
rnacentral:rRNA from 1 species